rnacentral:rRNA from 1 species
UACGUAGGGUGCAAGCGUUGUCCGGAAUUAUUGGGCGUAAAGAGCUCGUAGGCGGCUCGUCGCGUCGGCUGUGAAAACCUGGGGCUCAACCCCGGGCCUGCAGCCGAUACGGGCGAGCUAGAAUUCGGUAGGGGAGACUGGAAUUCCUGGUGUAGCGGUGAAAUGCGCAGAUAUCAGGAGGAACACCGGUGGCGAAGGCGGGUCUCUGGGCCGUAAUGAUCGCUGAGGAGCGAAAGCGUGGGGAGCGAACAGGAUUAGAACCGUACCGU